rnacentral:tRNA from 1 species
GUGUCCGUGGCGCAAUUGGAUAGCGCAUUUGAUUCCGGUUCAAAAGGUUGUAGGUUCAAGUCCUAUCGGGCAUGCCA